rnacentral:rRNA from 1 species
GAUGAACGCUGACAGAAUGCUUAACACAUGCAAGUCUUUGGCGAAGCUGUGCUUGCACAGCCUAGCCAAGGCGGACGGGUGAGUAACGCGUAAGGAACUUGCCCUGCAGUCAGGGAUAACAGACGGAAACGACUGAUAAGACCUGGUAAAGUCAGGCGGACUCAUGUCCAGCCUGAUGAAAAGAGAUGCUGCAGGAGAGCCUUGCGUCCUAUUAGCUUGUUGGUGGGGUAACGGCCCACCAAGGCGAUGAUAGGUAGCCGGCCUGAGAGGGUGGACGGCCACAAGGGGACUGAGAUACGGCCCUUACUCCUACGGGAGGCAGCAGUGGGGAAUAUUGGACAAUGGGGGCAACGCUGAUCCAGCAAUUCUGUGUGCACGAUGAAGGUUUUCGGAUUGUAAAGUGCUUUCAGCAGGGAAGAAAAAAAUGACGGUACCUGCAGAAGAAGCGACGGCUAAAUACGUG